UUUAAAAAAAUUUUUUUUUUUUUUUUUAAUUUUAAAAAAAAAAAAAGACCCCCCAAAAAAAAAAAAAA
rnacentral:ribozyme from 12 species